rnacentral:rRNA from 1 species
AAUCAACGCUGGCGGCGUGCCUAACACAUGCAAGUCGCACGAGAAAGGGACUUCGGUCCUGAGUACAGUGGCGCACGGGUGAGUAACACGUGAAUCAUCUACCUUCGAGUGUGGAAUAACUGAGAGAAAUCUUAGCUAAUACCGCAUAAUACCUACGGGUCAAAGCAGCAAUGCGCUUGAAGAGGAGUUCGCGGCAGAUUAGUUAGUUGGCGGGGUAAUGGCCCACCAAGACGAUGAUCUGUAUCCGGCCUGAGAGGGCGCACGGACACACUGGAACUGAAACACGGUCCAGACUCCUACGGGAGGCAGCAGUGGGGAAUUUUGCGCAAUGGGGGAAACCCUGACGCAGCAACGCCGCGUGGAGGAUGAAAUAUCUUGGUAUGUAAACUCCUUUCGAUGGGGAAGAUAAUGACGGUACCCAUAGAAGAAGCCCCGGCUAACUUCGUGCCAGCAGCCGCGGUAAUACGAGGGGGGCAAGCGUUGUUCGGAAUUAUUGGGCGUAAAGGGUGCGUAGGCGGUUUGACAAGUCAUCUGUGAAAUCUAUGGGCUCAACCCAUAGUCUGCAGGCGAAACUGUCG